rnacentral:lncRNA from 1 species
AAAAUUAGAAUAUGACCUUGACCUUUGACCUUGACCUGAUUUUCAUUUUUUUGCACCAAGGACCUCAAAUCAAAAGAUCCUAGGUCUCUAUCACGUAUGGUUUACAAGAUAGAAAUGCAUAUCACUUAUAUCAAAUGCAUAAGGGGAAAUAACUCUCAUAUGGAACGUUCAUAUCGCUUCAGUCAAAAUAGGACAAAUCAUGCGAAGGAUAUAACGAGCAAUUUUAUUGUUGCGAAGGAGUAGUGGACACAAGGAAAACAGUGUUUGGGGAGAUAACUCCUACAAAGAAAAGUAUUCGGUUACGCAGGGUAAAUUUCAAAAGCGCAUAAACUGUUUGAUAUCAUAUACCAAAUAUCUAAGCGACAUAUUGUGAAACAAAUAUUUAUCGCAAGAACAAAAUUAGGCGGAAGAAAAAAAAAAUAAUCAGAAGAAGAAAAACAAUAGGUCUUUCCACUGAAAAGUGGAAAGACCUAAUUAGAU